UCUACAAAAAAAAUUGCUGCCCGUCUCAAGUUUGCAAAAGACUACCUGGAUGUUCUACAAUGUUCUGUGCACAGAUAAGACUAAAGUUAAACUUCUUGGUAGGAAAGCACAUCGCCAUGUUUGGAGGGAAAGGGCAGUGCACACCAACACCAAAACCUCACCCCAGCUGUAAAGCAUGGUGGCAGGAGCAUCAUGGUUGGGGGCUGUUUUCCUACUUCAGGGCCUGGACAGUUUGCAAUAGUUGAGGGAACAAUGGAUUCAAAAUUGUAUCAUGACAUUUUACAGGAGAAUAUCAGGGUAGCAGUCCAUCACCUGAAGCUUAAUAGAAGCUUAAUGGAUAAUGCAACAAGACUAAUCUGAAAGACAAGAAUAAAUCAUCAACAGAAUAGUUCAAAAGAAAAUCUGUGUUUUGGAAUGGCCAAGUCAAAGUCCCCGAACUUAAGCCUAUAGAGAUGUUGUGGAAGGACCUGAAGCAAGCAGUUCAUGCAAGAAAGCCUACCAACAUCCCAGGGUUGAAGUUAUUACCCUACAAGGGGGUCACACCAGUUACUGAAAGAUGUUCCAGGAUAUAGUGAAGACCCAAUGAGAUUGCAUCUGCUGCGGACCAGUUGCUCCAAUAGGCAAAUUGGAGUGGAUCCAAGUCAUCUCUCAGGCAGGAACUGAUAUAUUUCAUUACCAAGCACUCAAAAUACCUCAUCACUGUGGAUGCAAGUUCUACUUUGUUAGCUCGACGACCAAUCAGGAGGCCCCACACAUCCCAGCGCCGGGAAAGUGAAGGGACGCCACGUAUUCUUUCUACACGUCACAUUGCGAUUGGUCAAUUGCGACGGCGUGGGGCGGGGCGCCGAAUCCUCAGGGCCGCAGCACGGAGCUGAAAGGUGAUAUUCUGUUUCUUAUGGCUGGGAACCGUGUGGUUUCGCAGGCUUUUCAGGAGGAGACCCAGAGAAGAAGGACGUGCUGGAAGCGCUCUGGUCGACCACCGUGGUUGGUCCCGAGCGGUGGGUCGAGGGGGUUGGAAGGGAUCGCAGGGUGAAGAAAAGACCCGUUAUUUGAUCUCCAACCUGUGUACACGAAGAAAUUGAACUAUGAUAAGUCUGGCACCUUUCUCUUUCUCUUUUUAUUGUAUCUCUAUUAAUCUCAUAGUCCCAGUAAGAUUUACAAAUUAUAAUCUGUAAAGUGUACCUUGAGUGCUGUCUGAUAUUUGAUGUGUGAGUUUGUACCAGGUGGCAUUACACAGCAACGACGUAACUGUGUGACACGGCCGGGCGGGUGGAUGGGGUUUUCCCCUAGAUAAACACGAACUGAUAGAGUUGAGCGUUACAUAUAUUCUGCGUUUUUUGCUCUUUUUUUGUUGCUUUUUGCUUGAUUUGCUUUUUUUGCAUAUUGGGGGGGGGACUGAUGGUUUGAUGCUUUCUUUCUUAGAGUGGGUUCGGUGGUUUUCCUUGUUUUGUGGCUCUCUGUGAGGAAGAUGAAUCUUAGAGUUGUAUACUGCCUACAUACCUGAUAAUACAUGUACUUUGAAGUGGGUUAAACUUGUUACACUCAUCACUAUGAAAGCCCAGCAGAGAUUGUUCUUCCUAUGCCAGUUUAGGAAACUGAACAUCUCAGGAAUUAUUGAAUUACUCAGCUAUUAUUCAGAGUGUUAUCACCGCCUCUAUCACCAUUUGGUCUUGCGCUGCCUUCUCCUUCUCCAAGUCCAGUUUGCAAUGAGUGGUCCACUCAACGAAAAAGAUCAAUGACCUUCGAAUGUCCAGUAUACUGCUGAUGUCUUCCUCAGUGAAGACUGAUACAAAAUACUCGUUCAGUUCCUCUGCCAUCUUCUUAUCUCCCAUUACAAUUUCUCCAGCAUCAUUUUCUAUCGGUCCUAUAUCUACUCUAACCUGUCUUUUACCUAAUUCCGAAUGCUAUGCGCGUUUAAAUACAGUAUCUUCAGUCCCGCAUUCUUCAUCCUUUUGAAUUUUUCCUCUUUGUUACAAUUUAACUCUCUGUAACGAGUACAGGCCUCGUUACUAGACCUGUAACGAGGACUAGUCCUCAACCUGCAGUAUUGCCUAUUUGCAGCCACCCAGGGGAGAGGUGUAAUAGUCAGUGCACUCCAGUGGAAGCAGCAUGGUGUAGCGUACCUGCUGGAGUUGGUGUUGCCUCCAGUGUUUGCUCGGCAGAAGGCAAGAUGUAUUGUGUUCAACUAAAGACUGCUGCAACAUUCAUAGACUCAGGGACUUGGACUGUAUUUUUUUGUGUGACUGUAUUUUACUACUGUCUUAUAUGUGCCCUGUGCUGUAUAUGACUGUCAGAACUGUGUUUUGAUCCUUAGCUUCAGAAAAACACUGUUUCAUUUGGCUGUAUUCAUGGAUAUUCAUGUAUCGCUGAUUAACAGUUAAACUUGAGCUUGAACUUGGAUGGGAGGAGCAUGGAGGGCUAUACUCUUAGUGCAAGUUGGUGAGACUAGGAAGCAUAAUAGUUUAUUAUAUACUAUCAUAUAAUAAAUAGUAUAUUUAUUAUAGGAAGGAGGGAGGAGAAGAUGGCGGCACGACGCAGCGCGUGCCACCUCUCCGGUGAAUAAUAUCAUAUUUGUAAGUAGGAUGCUGUGCACAAUUCUGAUUUGAUGGAGACAGACGUGAGAAGCACAGAGGAACAUCUGGAGUAACUUCUGAAAUGCCCGGUUUGCUGCUGCUGCUGCUACUGUGCGAUCGAAAAUCUCCGGAGGGGAAGGCCCCAAAUCCUCAGCUUUGCCUGUUACUGGCGGCCGGGGCUGGGGUCGAAGUACUUGGCAGAGAUGGUGCUCGGUGCUCAGUGUCGGAGGGCUGGUCGGAGGCUCGAAGUUUUCAGACGGACUCGGAGUCGGACUGUGGUCGGGUGCUUCCAGGACGCUGUAUCAGCAAGUUUGCGGCGCUGGAAGCUCAUGGCAGGGAGAGUUUUCUUCCUUCUACCGUCUGCGUGAGAUAAUGGGACUUUCGAGAGACUUUGAGACUUUUUUUUAACCGUGCCCAUGGCCUGUUCUUCAUCAAAUUACGGUAUUGCUUGCACUGUUGUAACUAUAUGUUAUAAUUAUGUGGUUUUUGUCAGUUUUUCAAUCUCGGUCUGUCUUGUGUUUCUGUGAUAUCACAUUGGAGGAACAUUGUAUUAUUUCUUAAUGCAAAGGCAUUACUAAAUGACAAUAAAAGAGGACUGCGUGUCCUCAUAAUCUAAUCUAUAUGGGCCAAAUGGUCGGUUUCUGUCCUGUAGUGCUGUAUGACUCUAGUUCCUAUGCUUCAGGUCAAACCACUAGCCUCUAAACAGGAAGCAAUCAUUAGAAGAGGAGCAGUUAAGUAGAAAAAUCAUAAAGAAGCAUAAAAUCCAUGGGAUUAUAAUGGUAGAAAAUUUCAUUUUCUCCAGAAUUAAAUGGGAUUGCCUUAAAAUAACAUGCCUAGACUGUUAGAGUGAGUAAAUCCAUCCAGGAGGAGCAUAGUCCCACAAUGGAAGAGGAAGCAGUCCUGGACCGGCUCCUUAUUUUUGGAGUGGGGCAUGUUCAAAACUCAAAGAAAAUUUUAUUAUCAGAGUACAUAAUCUCACCAUAUAUAAUCCUGUGAUUCAUCUUCCUGUGGGCAUACCAAACAAAUCUGUAGAAUAGUAACUGUAACAGGAUCAAUGAAAAAUCAACCAGAGUGCAGAAGACAACAAACUGUGCAAAUGCAAAUAUAAAUAAAUUCUAAUAAAUAAUGAGAACAUGAGAUACCAGGAUAAAGAAUCCUUAAAGUGAGAUAGUUGAUUAUGGGUUAGUGCGCAUGCUCCGGUCGUGCAUGCAGCCUGGUACAACCGUUCCAAUCUAUUCUUACUUUCUUCUUAUUACUUUUCAAUUUACGUUAUUUUUUGUUUUUUUUUUCUCACGGUAACGCAUCGAAGCUGCACCCUCUCUAACAUGCUGGUAGAGAGAGUUUUAUUUGGGUUUUCCUUAGCGCUGAAAAUGGUUACAUCCCGACACGCGGGACAGAAACAAGGUCGCAUUGUGUAUUCCACGAACCAGCAAAUACCGACCGGUUUAGCGAGCAGAGCGGUGGACACCUCUGCUGAAAUCCAGAGGAAAACACACAGAGGGAGAUCACAAAGCCGAGGAAAAAGGAACGGGUCGAAACAACAGAGACUUUUGGAGAAGAGGAGUUCAGUGGGUAAUACCGUUCCGGCUGACCGGAGGUGCACUGAGAGCAGUAAGCGUAAAGGAGUUGGGUGCUUACUGAUCUGGUUAACAACAGAUGGUGCAAUCCGGGCAUAUUACGAUCGAGGAACGUGUUUGCAGACUGGAUAUUGAACUUUUUGCUGUUGGACUUUGGCCACAUUCCACCGUGAUACAACACUUGGCGGUACAGGAGGUCGUUCCUGCCUGUGGCCACCAAACGUGCAGCUCCUCCCGUGGAGGGUCAGACACCCUGAACCAAUAGACUGGUCCUGGACUUAUUUUCCAUCUGGCAUAGUUUGCAUUUUGUUGUUUGAUUGUUGGGGCUUUUUGUAUUGCUAUAUUUACGCUCUAUUCUUGGUUGGUGCGGCUGUAACAAAACCAAAUUUCCCUCAGGAUUAAUGAAGUAUAUCUAUCUAUCUAUCUAUCUAUCUAUCAUCUCAAUAGAUGGUCAAGUGAGUGUAGUUGUUCUCUUUCUGUCAUGGUCCAGUCCGUGACGUCUGCAUUCCGGUUCACAGUCUGGUCCAUCGAUCCUUAUUCCGGGUUUUCCUGUUUUCCCUGGUUCCAUUGGGUACCUUAAUUGAGGCACCUGAUUCUCAUUUUGGGCUGGCACAUAAAUACCUCUUCAAACGAAGGAUUUCCUGCUGGACUGUUCCCUUCCCCUCCCCAUCUGAAUCCCUGGCAGUUACUUUGGCAAUUUAUCUCAACAGUUACUUUGUCCGUAACCUUUGUCUGUAACCUCGCCUGUGUCCUCGUCUGAAUUGCCAUCAAGUUCAACUGCCAGAGUGAGACCGGAGCCUUGCCACGCCAAGAUAAGGAACUAUCUAUCGUUGAGUUUGGAACUGUCACUUUAUGUCCCUGUGUUUAGUGUCCAUGUCAAAGAAGAGUCCCGGCCCUAUGUCCUGUUCCCAAGGAGGCGUCCUGACUCUGUGUAGAGCCCCAGCCCUAAGUCUGUUUCCCAAGGAGGGGUCCUGGCUCUGUGUUCUGUGUUCCUGUGCUCAAGUCCAAGGCUCUGUGUUCCUGUGUUCCAAGACCAAGUCCACGCACCAUGUUCCAGCCCUGUCCAAGUCUGAGCUUUGCGUCCUCAUCUGGUGCUGGAUCAUCCCCAUCCGAAUCCUCGGCAGUUUAUCUCGGCAAUUUCCCUUGGCAAGAAUCCUCGGCAGUCAUCCCGGCCCUGCAUCCAAGAAAGGGUCCUGGCCCUGCACUCCAAGGAGGAGUCCUGGCUCCGUACCCAACUGCCUAACCAAGCCGAGUCCAAGAGCCGAGCCAAUCCCAGCCCAGGAGUUCCUCGUGCAGUCCGGGGGAUUCUUUGUCCUGUGCUGGAGUACCUCGUCCUGUCCUUGCCAAGAUCCUAGUCCCAAGUCCUAGCCUAGACCCGGGUUCCGGUUCCGCGUCAAGACCCGGGUUCCGAUUCCUUGUCCAGACUCUGGUUCCGGAGUUCCGAGUUCCUAGUCCAGGCUCCUUGUUCCUAGUUCCACGUCCAGGUCCUGUGCUUCUAGCCCAAGUCCCAGCCCAGGGCCUGAAUCCUAGUCUCGUCCAGGGCCUGUGUCAAUUCCAGCGUAGUUUCUUCCUGACUCUCCUUGCUUUCUUGACAAACCUAGUCCUGUUCCUAGAACUGCAGCAUCUGUGUCUUGCAUUCGGGUCUGCUACCAGUGCGCCCCUUAUAACACUUUCAUUCAAGAGCCUGAUGGUUGUGGGGUAUUAACUGUUCAUGAACUGGGUGGUAUGAGUUCUGAGGCUCUUGUACCUUCUACCUGAUGGCAGCAGCGAGAAAACAGUAUGACCUGAAUGAUGGGGGAUCUCUGAUGAUGGAUGCUGCUUUCCUACGACAGCAUAUGAUGUAGAUGUGCUCAGUGGCUGGAAGGGCCAAAUGAGCUAAAUCCAGUACCUUAUGUAGGAUUUUCCAUCCAAAGGCAUUGGUGUUUCUGUACCAGGCCAUAAUUCAGCCAGUCAAUCCACGCUCCUCCACACAUCCAUAGAAGUUUCUCAAAAUUCCAGAUGUCAUGCCGAAUCUCCACAGUAUCCGAAGAAAGUGGUGGGAGUGUCAGUGGGAGAAUAUUAUACAGAGAGCAGAAAGUUUCAGAAUAGCUAAGAAAAACAAAAACAAGAUGAUUUUAAUAUCAUAAGACAGAUUCUGGCAAAAGUGGAGUGGAUGCAGUCAUCUGCGGGCAAGUUUAGAGAUAACCAUGGAAGUCAGUCAAGGAAUGAUAUAGUCAUUGUUUCGUGCCAGUGGGCUCCCAUAAGGAUAAAGGUCAAGGUCACAGAGUUACAGAAACGUACAGCGCAGAAACAGGCUUGUUGGCCCAUUUAGCCCGUGCUGAACCGUUUAAAUUGCCUACUUCCAUAGACCCGCACCCAGACCAUAGCCCUUCAUACUCCAUCCAUCCAUGUACCUAUCAAUAUUUCUCUUAAAUGUUGAAAUUGAGCUUGCAUGCACCACUUGCACUGGCUGCUUGUUCCACACUCCCACCAACUUCUGACUGCGGAACGUCAACAAGAGACGUCAGGAAACAUUGGGAGUUAGAUAACAUAAAGAUAGCUCAUGACAAGUUUGGAGUAUUGAAUGCAGGAAAGCUCCACGAGAUUAUAGGAAGUGUAGUGGGGUACUCAAGCUGAAUAUCUAAAGGUAGAUAAAUCUACUGGACCAGAUGGAAUGCACCUUCGUGUUCUGAAGGAAGUAGCUGUGGAGAUUGCAGAGGCAUUAGUGAUGAUCUUUCAAAAGUCGAUAGAUUCUGGCAUGGUUCCGGAGGACUGGAAGAUUACAAAUGUCACUCCGCUAUUUAAGAAGGGGGCAAGGAAGCAAAAACGAAAUUAUAGACCUGUUAGCUUGACAUCGGUGGUUGGGAAGUUGUUGGAGUCGAUUGUCAAGGAUGAGGUUACAGAGUACCUGGAGGCAUAUGUAAGUGGGUUUCUUUUUCUCGUCACUGUGUAGUCUAAUUAAAAUGGCUUCUUUGUUAUGUUAUAAUUGAAAGAGCUUCUUUGUUAUGUUAACUGCUGAGAAAGUUCUCCCGCUAACAGUUUGUUUGCAUCAUGUUACUGAUAAGAAAGGUGUUACGAACCAAUUGGGAUAGUUGUUAUGCUUUUAGUGUGUCUGAAGAUAUUGUAUGCGCGGGGUUUUGGCACAGAAGGCGGGAGAGAGAGAAACAGAGGAUGGACCAGGUGCUGCGAGUCCACUAACGGGGUCAGACCCUGAGCGGGGCGUUCGACGAAGAGAGGAGACAGAGCUGGACUCGUGUGGAGCGUCUGGUCGACCACCGUCGUUGGUCCCAGUUGGCCGGUCGAGGACGUCUGAGGGGUUGCAGGGUGAAGAAGAAGGGUCCUGAGCUCCAACUGUUUGUGCACGAAGAGAUAGAACUUUGAUAAGUGUGGUGCCUUUUAUUUUCCUUUUACAUUUUAUUCUCUAUUAAUUAUAUAGUUCCAGUAAUAUCUAUAAACUGUAAAUCAUUUAAUCAUAUCUGGUGUAUUGUCUGUUAUUUGGUCGGGGUGGGGUACAUCACACAGUAUCCACACAAAGUGAUUACCCAGUUUGCCGGGGCUGAGGGCUGUUUCCCUAGAUGACAGCGAGCCGAGCGACCCUGAGGCUUGGCCGGGGGGCUACAUAUAUGACAAGAUAGGCAGAACUCAGCAUGGAUUCCUUAAAGGAAAAUCCUGCCUGACAAACCUAUUACAAUUUUUUGAGGAAAUUACAAGUAGGCUAGACAAGGGAGAUGUAGUGGGUGUUGUAUAUUUGGAUUUUCAGAAGGCUUUUGAUAAGGUGCCACAUAUGAGGCUACUUAACAAGAUAAAAGCCCAUGGAAUUACGGGAAAGUUGCAUUUGUGGAUAGAGCAUUGCUGAUUGGCAGGAUACAGAGAGUGGGAGUAAAGGGAUCCUAUUCUGGUUGGCUGCCGGUCACCAGUGGUUUUCCACAGGGGUCCGUGUUGGGGCCGCUUCUUUUUAUAUUGUA